rnacentral:rRNA from 1 species
AUUGAACGCUGGCGGCAUGCCUUACACAUGCAAGUCGAACGGCAGCACGGGUGCUUGCACCUGGUGGCGAGUGGCGAACCGGUGGGUAAUACAUCGGAACGUACCUUAUCGUGGGGGAUAACGCAGCGAAAGCUGUGCUAAUACCGCAUACGCCCUGAGGGGGAAAGCGGGGGAUCGAAAGACCUCGCGCGACUAGAGCGGCCGAUGCCUGAUUAGCUUGUUGGUGGGGUAAAAGCCCACCAAGGCGACGAUCAGUAGCUGGUCUGAGAGGACGAGCAGCCACACUGGGACUGAGACACGGCCCAGACUCCUACGGGAGGCAGCAGUGGGGAAUGUUGGACAAUGGGGGCAACCCUGAUCCAGCAAUGCGGCGUGAGUGAAGAAGGCCUUCGGGUUGUAAAGCUCUUUUGUCAGGGAAGAAACACCGGCUCUAACACAGUCCGGGAAUGACGGUACCUGAAGAAUAAGCACCGGCUAACUACGUGCCAGCAGCCGCCGUAA